rnacentral:misc_RNA from 1 species
UUAAGUUCAGCGGGUAUCCCUACCUGAUCCGAGGUCAACCAUAGAAGGGUUAGUUCUGGCAGGCUACCGCCUAGCCCCAGAGCGAGAGCUGUACUACGCUUGGAGCCAGACGGCACCGCCACUGACUUUAGGGCCCGCCGGGUCGGCGGGGCCCAAUACCAAGCUGAGCUUGAGGGUUGUAAUGACGCUCGGACAGGCAU